UUAGGAUUUGAUUGUGACAUGAUUGGACAUAAUGAAACUUAAUUGUCUUUGGAAUGAUUGGUUCUAGUGAGUUCUUAUUAGGUUUAUAUUGGUGAUUCUCAAAUGAUAUGUUAUCCUGUAUUUAUGCCCUGCUAAGAUCGAAAGUUUGUGUCAUGAUUGAGUCACUUUUGAGAAUGUAUCAUGGUUGAAUCGUUAGGUUAAGAACUAGCCAAUAUGCAUGCUUACUCUUAUUGGAGAAUUUGGUGGGUUAAUAAAUGAUUCAUAGAGGAACAAGGUUUUGGUUGACUUCUUAUUUUGUGAAUCUAGAUUUGCUGUCCGUGGCGCAUAUUCUCUUGCGAGAAGUGCUUCUGUCUCUCUUGCGAGAAGUGCUUCUGUCUCUCUUGCGAGAAGUGCUUCUGUCGCUUUGUUGUUGUUGAGUAAGAGAGAUGAUUAAGAGAUAAUGUUCUGAAUGGUUAUGGUUUCUUUGGGAAGAUUCUAGGAUCUUGGAUUCCUGAGUUUGUAGUGUAUACAGGAUUCAUCGAUGCGAGUAAUUUAUAACCACUCGGGCUUUCUAGUGAUAUGAACAAGUAAUUGUUGGUGGGAACGUCUUUCUGCAUUAUUUCA